rnacentral:rRNA from 1 species
GUCGAGCGGAUGAAGGGAGCUUGCUCCUGGAUUCAGCGGCGGACGGGUGAGUAAUGCCUAGGAAUCUGCCUGGUAGUGGGGGAUAACGUCCGGAAACGGGCGCUAAUACCGCAUACGUCCUGAGGGAGAAAGUGGGGGAUCUUCGGACCUCACGCUAUCAGAUGAGCCUAGGUCGGAUUAGCUAGUUGGUGGGGUAAAGGCCUACCAAGGCGACGAUCCGUAACUGGUCUGAGAGGAUGAUCAGUCACACUGGAACUGAGACACGGUCCAGACUCCUACGGGAGGCAGCAGUGGGGAAUAUUGGACAAUGGGCGAAAGCCUGAUCCAGCCAUGCCGCGUGUGUGAAGAAGGUCUUCGGAUUGUAAAGCACUUUAAGUUGGGAGGAAGGGCAGUAAGUUAAUACCUUGCUGUUUUGACGUUACCAACAGAAUAAGCACCGGCUAACUUCGUGCCAGCAGCCGCGGUAAUACGAAGGGUGCAAGCGUUAAUCGGAAUUACUGGGCGUAAAGCGCGCGUAGGUGGUUCAGCAAGUUGGAUGUGAAAUCCCCGGGCUCAACCUGGGAACUGCAUCCAAAACUACUGAGCUAGAGUACGGUAGAGGGUGGUGGAAUUUCCUGUGUAGCGGUGAAAUGCGUAGAUAUAGGAAGGAACACCAGUGGCGAAGGCGACCACCUGGACUGAUACUGACACUGAGGUGCGAAAGCGUGGGGAGCAAACAGGAUUAGAUACCCUGGUAGUCCACGCCGUAAACGAUGUCGACUAGCCGUUGGGAUCCUUGAGAUCUUAGUGGCGCAGCUAACGCGAUAAGUCGACCGCCUGGGGAGUACGGCCGCAAGGUUAAAACUCAAAUGAAUUGACGGGGGCCCGCACAAGCGGUGGAGCAUGUGGUUUAAUUCAAAGCAACGCGAAGAACCUUACCUGGCCUUGACAUGCUGAGAACUUUCCAGAGAUGGAUUGGUGCCUUCGGGAACUCAGACACAGGUGCUGCAUGGCUG